GAGUUUGAUCAUGGCUCAGAGCGAACGCUGGCGGCGUGCUUAACACAUGCAAGUCGAGUGCGCGCCUGUAGCAAUACAGGUGGCGCACGGCGCACGGGUGCGUAACACGUGGGUAAUCUGCCCUUCGAUGGGGAAUAACUCCGGGAAACCGAAGCUAAUUCCGCAUAACAUUCCUUGAACCUCGGUUUGGGGAUUCAAAGCCGUAAGGCGUCGGAGGAGGAACCCGCGCACGAUUAGCUAGUUGGUAGGGUAACGGCCUACCAAGGCUUUGAUCGUUAGCUGGUCUGAGAGGAUGGCCAGCCACACUGGAACUGAGACACGGUCCAGACUCCUACGGGAGGCAGCAGUGGGGAAUCUUGCACAAUGGGCGAAAGCCUGAUGCAGCGACGCCGCGUGGGGGAUGAAGCUUCUCGGAGUGUAAACCCCUUUCGACCCGGACGAAUGCCCCGCAAGGGGACUGACGGUACGGGUAUAAGAAGCCCCGGCUAACUACGUGCCAGCAGCCGCGGUAAGACGUGGGGGGCCAGCGUUGCUCGGAAUUACUGGGUGUAAAGGGUUCGUAGGCGGUGUGGCAAGUCGGGAGUGAAAUCUCUGGGCUUAACUCAGAGACUGCUUCCGAAACUGCUGUGCUUGAGUGUGGGAGAGGCGCGUGGAAUUGCAGGUGUAGCGGUGAAAUGCGUAGAUAUCUGCAGGAACACCCGUGGCGAAAGCGGCGCGCUGGACCACUACUGACGCUGAGGAACGAAAGCUAGGGGAGCAAACAGGAUUAGAUACCCUGGUAGUCCUAGCCCUAAACGAUCAGGACUUGGGGUGCCGCACGUUCGUGCGUCGUCCCGGAGCUAACGCGUUAAGUCCUGCACCUGGGGAGUACGGUCGCAAGACUGAAACUCAAAGGAAUUGACGGGGCCCGCACAAGCGGUGGAACAAUGU
rnacentral:rRNA from 1 species